rnacentral:rRNA from 1 species
AGUCGAGCGCCCUGCUUGCAGGGAGCGGCAGACGGGUGAGUAACGCGCGCCAACGUGCCUAUUGGUUCGGAAUAGCCCUGGGAAACUGGGUGUAAUACCGAAUGUGCCCUUCGGGGGAAAGAUUUAUCGCCAAUAGAUCGGCCCGCGUUAGAUUAGCUAGUUGGUGGGGUAAAAGCCUACCAAGGCUACGAUCUAUAGCUGGUCUGAGAGGAUGAUCAGCCACACUGGGACUGAGACACGGCCCAUACUCCUACGGGAGGCAGCAGUGAGGAAUCUUGGACAAUGGGCGAAAGCCUGAUCCAGCCAUGCCGCGUGAAUGAUGAAGGCCUUAGGGUUGUAAAAUUCUUUCAGCAGGGAAGAUAAUGACGGUACCUGCAGAAAAAGCCCCGGUUAACUCCGUGCCAGCAGCCGCGGAAAUACGGAGGGGGCUAGCGUUGUUUCGAAAUUACUGGGCGUAAAGCCUUCGUAGGCGGAUUGGUCAGUCAAAGGUGAAAGCCCCGGGCUCAACCUUGGAAAUUGCCUUUGAUCCUGCCCGUCUUGGAUUUCGGGGAGAGGGUGAGCGAAAUUUCCAAGUGGUAGAGGGUGAAUUUCGUAAUAUAUUUCGGAGGAACACCCAAAAGGCGAAGGCGG